GCCAGGUGUGGUGGCGCGUGCCUGUAGUCCCGGCUACUCGGGAGGCUGAGGUAGGAGGAUCGCUUCAGCCCAGGAGUUCUGGGCUGUAGUGUGCUAUGCUGACCAGGUGUCCUCACUAAGUUCGGCAUCAAUAUGGUGCCUUCCCAGGAGUGGGGGACCACCAGGUUGCCUACGGAGGGGUGAACUGGCCCAGGUUGGAAACAGAGCAGGUCAAAACUCCUGUGCUGAUCAGUAGUGGGAUUGCACCUAUGAAUAGCCCCUGCACUCCAGCCUGGGCAACAUAGCAAGGCCCCAUCUCU
rnacentral:SRP_RNA from 1 species